GCUGUCAUAUUUCUACCAAAUGUGUGGGCGUUUUCCUCCACCAAGCAGUUCUCUGUGACACCAGCGGGUGUCCUACUAUUUAAGCCAAUUCUGACAUUAUCUAUAGGAAGAGAGUGUCAGAUCCUGGGGCUAAGGGGUCGGUCCCCAAAGCCGUCUCCCCUUCCUCCUGCCCGGCUCCUGACCAAGGCUUAGUCACCAGGGCCCGACUGGCGAAAUGAAUCCCUGGGUGUUGGUGACUGAAUCUCCAGCCAGUCUGCCUCCCUGGAGGUUGUGGGGGGUGGGGCUAAAAGUUCCCACCCUCUAAUCACAAGACCCUCUAAUCACAAGGCUCUUUCUCCCACAAACAAACCCCGUCUAUAGGGACUUUCCAAAAGUCAGCUCAUUAGCAUAAACCCAGACGUGGCUGGAAGGAGCUUGUUAAUGAAUAAAGAAGACACCUUUAUCGCUCUUCACACUCCUAAUGUUCCAAGGGUUUUAGGAGCUCUGUGCCAGCAAGGGCAACAAAGUCCAAAUAUAUAUUCUUAUUAUAUAAAUCACUAUAUCUCAUUAACAUGAGAAAAAAAGUCUAUGCCUUUGUAGCACAAGCAAAGAAAAGCCAAGUCAAAUAACCUGUGAGUUUCCGUAUCAAAACUGCGGCUAAGAACUUUGGAUGGCACCUAGCUCAUGGCAAGGCUAGCCUUGUCAUACGGUGACGGUGACAGUGGCCCAAGUGACCCAUAAACAUUUGCGCAAACUUUCCAGGAGACGAUUUGGCAAUAUGCAUGGAAACCCUUAAAACUAAAAGAUAGUCCUAUCUUUUUGGCCUGGUAAUUCCACUUAGGGGUUUACCCCAAGGCAGCAAUCAGAAAUGCAAUCAAUGGUUUAUACACAGGAAUGUUCAUCACCGCAUCUUGCAAAAAACGGGAAGCAGCUUGAAUGCCCGCCAUUGGAAUUAAACUGUGACGCACCAAAGUGGUGAGACUGCAGACUUUAGAAAAGCCAGUCUAAAAUCACACUAAUAGAGUAUGACUGCAGGAAGGAGACUAAGGGAACAUUCUAAAAUGUUAAUGCAUCUGUCUCUGGGUGGUGGCAUUGUGAACAACUGUUCUGUUUUUGCCUGAAAAACAUUUCCAGAAUUAUGUGUUGCAUUUAUGUAAAAGUGAAAUGCAGAAAACAAACACAAACGGACUUCAUGAUCAGGUAAGGUAAGGCAGGAGUCGGCUGGCGAGAACCUGAGAAAGGGGAUUACGUGCAGAAUCGAAAGGGAUGUCUUAUGGACAGAUUCUUAGGUCUGGGGCUUGGCGAGGGUUGGGGUGUAGGAAGAAGUCGAGAAGGAGUCAGGAGUCGAGAAGGAAAGAAGGAAUCACAUAAUGUGUGUGUGUGUGUGUGUGUGUGUGUGUGUGUGUGUGUGUGUGUGUGUGUGUUUCUUUCCCAAAGGAACCUUUGAUUUUACAGGUGAAGAAGUAUAACGGAAGUUAUUAAGGAAACAGUCCAUAUUUAAGAAAAUAUUUUAAGAUCAGCAGUGGCGGGCAUGAGAAGCACUGUAGUCUAAUGACAUAGGCUCUGAAUAUGUUAGACCCUGUUCAAUUCUGAGUCAAGAACACGGGUCUUUCUGACAAUCUCAACUCGCGGUGUAUGUUUUAAGCACUCAGGGUGUUUCUGUAACUCGGAAUAGUAAUAGUCGAGCCACUUCGAGUCAGUGACCUGCUUCUGUCUGGCUGCCCGUUUCUGAUGAGCAACUGGCCCCGCGGGCCAUAAACAUCUAUUUGCACAGACUUUGCAACACCCUGUCGCCAGGUUAUCCCUGUGUGUUCCUUUUAAUUAUUUUUUUUUAAUGUUUGUUUAUUUUUGAGAGAGAGCAAGCAGGGGAGGGGCAGAGAGGGAAGGAGGCACAGAAUCCGAAGCAGGCUCCAGGCUCUGAGCUGUCAGCACUGAGCCCGACCCGGGGCUGGAACCCACGAACUGUGAGAUCAUGACCUGAGCCGAAGUGGGACACUUAACCCACCGAGCCACCCAGGCGCCCCCAUCGCCGUGUGUUUCUAACCGGAAAAAGAGAACGUAAACAACGUUGUUGUUGUUCACCAGAUCGCGUACUUUACCCACGCCCGAGCCGCCCGACCAGUUGACCCAAGGAGCCAGCUUUAGAGCCAGAGAAGCCAUCAACCCAGAAGUGCCAAUGAGUGAAGAAAUAAUGGAUGAAAAUUUGAUGAAACUUCCCAAAUGUAAUGAAAGAUAUGAUGUAAAUAUCCAAGAAGCUCAAUGAGCUCCAAGUAAGAUGAACUCAAAAACCCGCAAUGAAACAUAUUGUAAUUAAUCUAAGAGAAAGAGAGAAUCUUGAAAGUAGCAAGAGAAAAGCAAAUUGUUACGUGGAAGAAUCCUCAAUAAGAUUAUUAGCAGAUUUCUCAUCAGAAACUGGAGGCCAGAAGACCAUAAACCAAUACAUUCAAAGUGCUUUUAAAAAGUGGCAUUAUUGUCCUUCAAAAGUUAGGAAGAAAUUAAGACAUUCCCAGAUAAACAAAAGCUGAAAGAGUUCAUGACCACUAGAUACAUCCUGUAAGAAAUGCUCAAGAGAGUCCUACAAGGUGAAAAGACACUGGAAAGUAACUUGAAUCUGUAGGGAGAAAUAAAGAUCUGAACACAGGCAAUUAUAAAAGCUAGCAUAUCACUGUAGCAAUGGUUUUAAAGAGCACUUUUUGUUUUCCAAUACAUUUAAAGAAAAACAAAGCAGUUAAUAAUAUAGUUUCAUCCUGUUGUGAUCAGAGAAGAUACUCUGUAAGACAGCUAGCUUUUAAAAUCUUACUUAUUAAGACUUACUUAUUACGACUCACUGUUAACAAUUAUAUAGCAACAAAUUAGAUAAUAUAGAUAAAAUGGACAAAUUCCUAGAAACACAAAACCUACCAAGACUAUAUCACAAAGAAAUAGAAAAUAUGAACAGACCUAUAACUGAUAAUGAAUCAGCAAUAAAAAAAUCUCCCAACCACAAACUAUAGAUGUGAUGGCUUCACAGGAGAAUUCUACCAAACAUUUAAAGAACUAACAUCAGUACUUCUCAAACCUUUCUAAAAAACUCAAGAGUAGGGAACACUUCCUAACUCAUUCUAUGAGGCCAGCAUUAUCCUGAUACCCAAAGCCAGACAGACACUACAAGAACAAAAAAAUUUAUAGAUCAGCAUGUCUUAUGAACAUUAAUGCAAAAAAUCCUCAACAAAAUACUAGCAAAUAAAAAUCAGCAGCAUAUUAAAAGGAUUGUACACAAUGACCAAAUAGGAUUUAUUCCUGGGAUGUAAGGAUGGUUCAACAUAACCAAUUGAUCAGAAUGUAAGGAUGGUCCAAACGUAAGAAACUAAUGAACGUAAAACACCACAUCAACAUAAUAAAGGAAAAGACCUCACACGAACAUCUCAAUUGAUGCAGAAAAGGCAUCUGACAAAAUUCAACACCUUUUCAUGAUUAAAAAACCCAACAGACAAGGCAUAGAAGGAAACCACCUCAACACAAUAAAAAAAACUAUAGCUGACAUGUUUGAUGGUGAAAUGCUGAAAGCAUUUCCUUUAAGAUCAGGAACAAGUAAGGAUGUCUGUUUUCAUCACUUCUAUUCAACACAAUACUGGAAAUUAUAGCCAGAGCAACUAAGCACAAAAAUGAAAUAGAAGGUAUCCAAAUGGGAAAGAAGUAAAAUGAUCUCUGUAGAUGAUAUGAUCUUAUAGUUUAAAAACUCUAAAGAGUCCACAAAAAACCUGUUUGAACUAAUAAAUUAAGUCAGCAAUACAGCAAGAUACAAAGUUACCACACAAAAAUCAACUGCAUUUUUAUACACAAUUAGAGAACAACUUGAAAAGGAAAUUACAAAAGCAAUUCCAUGUACAAUAGCAUCAAAAAGAAUAAAAUACUUAGGAAUUAACCAAGGUGAAAGAAAACUUCAUCUUCUUGUACAAAAAAACUACAGUGACUACAAAACAUUGUUGAAAGGAAUUAAAGAAGACAUAAGUACAUGAAAGCAUAUCUCUUAUUCAUGAAAUGUAAGUCCUAAUAUUAUUAAAAUAUCAAUAUUACCCAAAGCAAUCUAUGGAUUCAAUGCAAUCCCUAUCAAAAUCCCAAUGACUUUUUUUUUUGCAGAAAUAGAAAAAUCCAUCCCAAUAUUCAAAGGAUCCCAAAUAGCCAAAAUAAUCUGGGGGGGGGGGGGGUAGCGGUGGGGAAGGAACAAAAUUGGAGGGUUCAUACUUUGAUUUCAAAAUUUACUACAAAGCUACAGUAAUCAAAACAGUGUGGCAUUGGCAUAAAGAUAGCCAUAUAGACCAAAGAAAAAGAAUACAGAGCCAAUAAAGAAAUCCUUGCAUACAGUCAAAUGAUUUUUGACAGGGGUGUCAAGACCAUUCAAUGGGUGAAGGACAGUCUUUUUAACACAUGGUGCUCAGAAAAUUGUAUCUCCACUUGCAAAAGAAUGGGGCCUUUACCUUAUACCAAACACAAAAAUUAACUCAAAAUAGAUCAAGGACCUAAAUGUAAGACCCAAAAGGAUAACACUCUUAGAAGAAAACAGGACAAAACUUCACAACACUGGAUUUGGCAAUGACUUAUUGGAUAUGAUACUAAAGGCUAAAAGCCAAUAAGGGCAGUACUGAGGUCUUCAGCCCAACAGCUUUUGAAGAACAGCUUUUGAAUUUUGUCAACAAUCAUGUAAGUGAGCUUAAAAGUGGAUCUUUUCUCAGUCAAGUCUUCAGAUGAGACCACCUGACCAUCACCUUCAUUGCAGCCUUUUGAGAGACCUCAGACAGAAGCACAUAGUGAAGCCACUCCUGAGUCCCUGUCUCAUGGAAAUGGCAUGAAAAUAAGUAUCUGUUGUUUUGGGCAACUGCUUGGGGAAAUUUGUUGCUCAGCAAUAGAAAACUAAUACAACAUCCAUCUUACUCCAUUUCAGCUGCUAUAACAAAAUACCACAGACUGUGUGGCUAAAAAGAACAGGAAUUUAUUCCUCCUAGUUCUUCAGGCUGGAAGGUAGAGGUCAAUGUGCCAGUAUGGUCAGGUGAGCACUCUCUUUUGAGCUGCCAACUUCUCGUUUGUAUCCUCAUAUGGUAGAAGGGGCUAGGCAUCUCUCUGGAGCUCUUUAAUAAGGCACUAAUCCAGAGGGCUCUGCCCCAUCACCUAAUCACUUCCCAAAGGGCCCACCUUCCAGUACCAUCAUAUUGGGCAUUAUAAUUUCAACAUAUGAGUUUGGGGAAGAUAGAAUUAUUCAGACAUAGCAUUCUGUCCCUGAGCCCUCCAAAUUCAGGUCCUUCUCACAUGCAAAAUACAUUCAUUCCAUCCCAUUCCAUUCCAACAAGUUAAAGGUUUCCAAAAUACAGUGAUGGGACAGACAUAGGACAGACAUUCCCAAAGGGAGAAACAGAAAAGGAUGGAGUGCUGGGUUGCCAGUAAGGACAUAGAAAAAUCUAGCAAGGCAAAUUCAACAAGAUCUUAAAGCUCAAGAAUAAUCCUCUCUAGUUCAAUGGACUGCCUUCUGGACCUACUGGAGUGGCAACAUCACCCGUACGGCUUGGCAGGGUGCUGCUAAUGCCUGGCUCUCUGCUAGGGCACUGCCCACAAUGUAGGUCAUGGCUCGAGGCAGCUUGCCUUCAUGGCCUCUGUUAGAGGCUGUUUAUCCUGUUGAAAUCCAGGUGGUAGUGGCCCUGAUGAUCUCUUAGUUACCUCUGAGGCCAUUUUUCCCCCUUGUCUUGAAGAAGAGUGCAUGUUCACAAAUAGAUGUAUGGUACCGUACUGUAAAAUUCAAGCAGUCUGAUAGCCUUCCUUCAUUCUGUCCUGUCUCCAACCCCUUCAGUUCAAGCUGGCAGUCUUCCUAAUGGGGUGGUUGAUUAGUUCUGUGGUUCAUACCCACACUAAUCUCCUUAUCAUACAGUUGAUCCCCCACACUCUUACUCUUCUUUUCUGAACACACGUUCCUAUUGUUUUGUAACAUGGGUAGGCUGAGAAUUUUUUAAAUCUUCACCUUCUGGUUCCUUUUCGCUUAACAAUUCCUUCUUCAUUUCUCUCUCCUUGUUUUUUACUAUAAGCAGUCAGGAGGAAUCAAGCUGCUCUUCAACACUUUAUAAAGAAACUUUUUCAGCUAAAUUUCCAAUUUUAUCACUCACAAGUUCUACCUUCCAUGAAACGCUAUAGAACACAAACUCAAUACAGCCAAAUCCUUUACCAUUUUAUAGUAAGCAUUAAAUUUUCUCUAUUGGUCAGUAACAUGUUCGUUUCUGUCUGAGAUCUCAUGAAAAUCACCCUUAAUAUUCAGAUUCCUACCAACGUCCUAUACACAAUUAGUUGUGUGUCUUUAAGAUGGAAACUUGCUCUACAGCUCCCCUUGCUCUACAGCUCCCCUUUUUUCUUUCUGAGUCCUUACCAGAAUCAUCUUGAGAAGUCCCUUCAUGGCAAUAUCAGCAUUUUCUAACAUGCACUUCAAAACUCUGCCAGACUCUACCAGUUAUCCAGUUCCAAAGCCACUUCCACAGUUUUAGGUAUUAGUUACAAUAGCACCCCACACUCGGUACUAAGAGAGUAGUGUCUUAGUUUGUCUUAGUCACUUCCUAACACCAUCACAUUGAUGGUUAGGGUUUCAACAUGUGUAGUAUUUGGUGGGGACAUAAGCAGUCCAUAACACCACCUGAACUUCCUUCUCCUCCUCCCACUCUAUAUUCCUCCUUAGGCACUUAUCAUAUACUGGCACAUCAUAUAUUUUACUUAUCAUUUUUUAUUCCCACCCACUAGAAUAUAAGCUAUGAAAGAGAAAGAUUUUUGUCUCAUUUUUAGUUCACUGCUCUAUCCCCAGCACACAGUUGAAGCUCAAUAUAUAGUUGUUAAAUAAAUGAAUAAAUGAACACUGGA